rnacentral:lncRNA from 1 species
UUUCAAUUUUAUCGCUGACAAAUAAUUAAAAUAUUAAAUAUAAUAAAAUUUUGAUACCUUAACAACAACUUAAACUUAUUUAACUAAAAAUUACUCAACAUUUUUUUAUUAUUAUGAAAAUUUUAUUUAGGCUUAGUUUGGUAUUAAGACUUAUCUGGCGCUAUUAGAUAAAAUAAAGUUUAGGUAAAAGCAUAUAGAAAUAUGUUUUUACGUUCUCCAGUAAAACUGCAGAAAAUAUAUAGUAAUUAAUUAAUCGCGAUAUGCGAAACGUAAUAUUACAUACGAAAAUAAAUAUGAUAUUAUUUCAUCAUACUUUUUUACUACUCGUAAUGCAAUCUCUCCGCAAUCUCAAACAAAGCCUUAAUCUCUCGUACUAUUCAUACUUU